ACGGGAGGCAGCAGUGGGGAAUCUUCCGCAAUGGGCGAAAGCCUGACGGAGCAACGCCGCGUGAGUGAAGAAGGCCUUCGGGUCGUAAAGCUCUGUCUUAAGGGACGAACGGCGUCGGGAGUAACUGCCCGGCGAUUGACGGUACCUUAGGAGGAAGCUCCGGCUAACUACGUGCCAGCAGCCGCGGUAAUACGUAGGGAGCGAGCGUUGUCCGGAAUUACUGGGCGUAAAGGGCGCGUAGGCGGGGUUUCAAGCAGGAUGUGAAAACUAUGGGCUCAACCCGUAGCCUGCAUUCUGAACUGAGACUCUUGAGGGCAGGAGAGGAAAGUGGAAUUCCUAGUGUAGCGGUGAAAUGCGUAGAUAUUAGGAGGAACACCAGUGGCGAAGGCGACUUUCUGGACUGUACCUGACGCUGAUGCGCGAAAGCGUGGGGAGCAAACAGGAUUAGAUACCCUGGUA
rnacentral:rRNA from 1 species